rnacentral:rRNA from 1 species
AUUCUGGCUCAGAUGAACGCUGGCGGCAGGCCUAACACAUGCAAGUCGAACGGUAACAGGAAGAAGCUUGCUCUUUGCUGACGAGUGGCGGACGGGUGAGUAAUGGUCUGGGAAACUGCCUGAUGAGGGGGGAUAACUACUGGAAACGGUAGCUAAUACCGCAUAACGUCGCAAGGACCAAAGAGGGGGACCUUCGGGCCUCUUGCCAUCGGAUGUGCCCAGAUGGGAUUAGCUAGUAGGUGGGGUAACGGCUCACCUAGGCGACGAUCCCUAGCUGGUCUGAGAGGAUGACCCAGCCACACUGGAACUGAGACACGGUCCAGACUCCUACGGGAGGCAGCAGUGGGGAAUAUUGCACAAUGGGCGCAAGCCUGAUGCAGCCAUGCCGCGUUGUAUGAAGAAGGCCUUCGGGUUGUAAAGUACUUUCAGCGGGGAGGAAGGGAGUAAAGUUAAUACCUUUGCUCAUUGACGUUACCCGCAGAAGAAGCACCGGCUAACUCCGUGCCAGCAGCAGC